rnacentral:rRNA from 1 species
GAUGAACGCUAGCGGCAGGCUUAACACAUGCAAGUCGAGGGGUAUAGUAGCAAUACUAGAGACCGGCGCACGGGUGCGUAACGCGUAUGCAAUCUACCUUUCACAGAGGGAUAGCCCAGAGAAAUUUGGAUUAAUACCUCAUAGUAUAGUAUCUUGGCAUCAAGGAACUAUUAAAGUCACAACGGUGAAAGAUGAGCAUGCGUCCCACUAGUUAGUUGGUAAGGUAACGGCUUACCAGGACUACGAUGGGUAGGGGUCCUGAGAGGGAGAUCCCCAACACAGGUACUGAGACACGGACCAGACUCCUACGGGAGGCAGCAGUGAGGAAUAUUGGACAAUGGGCGCAAGCCUGAUCCAGCCAUGCCGCGUGCAGGAUGACGGUCCUAUGGAUUGUAAACUGCUUUUGUACAGGAAGAAACACCCCGACGUGUCGGGACUUGACGGUACUGUAAGAAUAAGGAUCGGCUAACUCCGUGCCAGCCGCCGCGGUAA